rnacentral:tRNA from 5 species
GGGGCUAUAGCUCAGACCGGGAGAGCGCUGCAUAACUAUGAUGCAGAGGCCGAAGGUUCAAAUCCUUCUAGCUCCU